CCUACGGGAGGCAGCAGUGGGGAAUAUUGGACAAUGGGCGCAAGCCUGAUCCAGCAAUGCCGCGUGAGUGAUGAAGGCCUUAGGGUCGUAAAGCUCUUUUACCAGGGAUGAUAAUGACAGUACCUGGAGAAUAAGCUCCGGCUAACUCCGUGCCAGCAGCCGCGGUAAUACGGAGGGAGCUAGCGUUGUUCGGAAUUACUGGGCGUAAAGCGUACGUAGGCGGUUAUUCAAGUCAGAGGUGAAAGCCCGGGGCUCAACCCCGGAACGGCCUUUGAAACUAGGUAGCUAGAAUCUUGGAGAGGUCAGUGGAAUUCCGAGUGUAGAGGUGAAAUUCGUAGAUAUUCGGAAGAACACCAGUGGCGAAGGCGACUGACUGGACAAGUAUUGACGCUGAGGUACGAAAGCGUGGGGAGCAAACAGGAUUAGAUACCCUGGUAGUCCACGCCGUAAACGAUGAUAACUAGCUGUUCGGGCACUUGGUGCUUGAGUGGCGCAGCUACGCAUUAAGUUAUCCGUCCGUCGGGUAGGUACGGUCGCGAGAAUUAAACUAACAAUAGAAUUAGUACGGCGUGAGACGUGCCGAACGGACGACGACGAGGGAGUAGG
rnacentral:rRNA from 1 species